UAGUCAAUGGCCUAACGGCUGAACUGGCAACUUGGAGAAGUGGCAAGUCUUCCAGUAUGGGGAGCAAAACAGCUAUGGGUCAAGUCCGAUAUCUUUAGGAGGCGCGAAGCUCCUCUUAUUGUGAGGGCGAGUUUUAUAACACCAUAGGACUGGCCGUCCCAUAUGAAAAGAUUAUAUUAGAAUUGAAUGAAGCUUUGUUUAUAUAUUGAUAAUGACAGUAUAUAUAUCGUGUCUUGACUAAUUGCGUGCCAGCAGUCGCGGUAAUACGUAAGAGACUAGUGUUAUUCAUCUUAAUUAGGUUUAAAGGGUACCCAGACGGUCAAUAUAGCUUAUAAAAUGUUAGUACUUGACUAGAGUUUUAUGUAAGAGGGCAGUACUUGAGGAGGAGAGAUGAAAUUUCGUGAUACCAAAGGGACUCGGUAAAGGCGAAGGCAGCCCUCUAGGUAAAAACUGACGUUGAAGGACGAAGGCACAGAGAACAAACAGGAUUAGAUACCCAAGUAGUCUUUGCAGUAAAUGAUGAAUGCCAUAGGUUAGAUCUGAGUUGGUAGUCUAGUUGAGUUAGUUUACUAAACUAAUGAUCUAUACAAGCCAGCCUUAGAUUUGGUCUAUAAAUGAAAGUGUAAGCAUUUCACCUCAAGAGUAAUGUGGCAACGCAGGAACUGAAAUCACUAGACCGUUUCUGACACCAGUAGUGAAGUAUGUUAUUAU
rnacentral:rRNA from 1 species